rnacentral:lncRNA from 1 species
AAAGUCAUUCCCGGGAAUCUAGCGGCGCUAGAGCCUACAUUUACAGCCUGUGCGCCCCCCGAGCGUGCCAUCGUCUGUCGCCUUGCGGCCUCGGCGGCCGAGUGCUCAGCAUCGCCGGGAGGAGGGGGAGACAGGAUUGAUCUCUCUCGCCUUCCCCUCGGUGUAUUUGUUUGCGGGGGCUCAGGUUGCUUUCCCCCUUUUGGCAAAGGAGAGCGAUGCAAGCCGGCAGAUACCUUGGGAGCGAGGAGGGUAUUUUGGGGAGUUGCAGUGUUGUGCGGAACAUCAUGUCUGUGCCCUGUGGUGCUGUCAGCGGUGACAGAUCCCAGAUGCAGUCGCUACUGUAUGGCAGAUUGAGUUUCUCAGCAGAAAACUCUCUCCCUCCCUCCCAAACGUCUUCAAAAACCUUCUCCAGAUACUGCGGGUCACUUCGGCUCAAACGGGGAGAGAAAGGGGGGAAAAAAGGCUUUUCUUCUCUCCUCCCUCUCUCUUCCUCCCGCCGGAUCUCUCUGGGGUGCGCGGGGGGCUGUGACCGGGCCCGUGUGCACCCGAGGCCCGAGGCGACCCCUCUCACCCUGGUCGUGCCGGGAGCCCGUCGCCGAGCACGGGGACCGUGGUCCAGGCACACGUUCUCCUCGGGAUGGCCUGAGUUUCCAGGCGCGACAAGGGCAUGAAGCGCAUCCAUCCUCGGGGAGGUGCAGGCAGGCUUGGGGAGCUGCUGUGGCCGGGGGACGGCUGGGCUAGCGCAAGGGCAGGGAACCCUCUCGUUCCCCUGCUGCUGUUUCCUGCGUGUGAAUUCCGCACUUUUGGGAGAAAUUUCAAACAAAGAAAAAUGAACAAAAGGCUGUUCUCCGUUGCCGGAGCUCCUCAGCAACACUGGCUGGGGAGUGCGCGGUGGGCGCGGGCAGCAACCCAGGGGCUGGGACCCCCUGUCUCCGCCGAAGCCCCUCCUGCCAUGGUACUGCGGUGAGCUGCCAGCUGCCAGCACUUUCUGUGUUUUACUGCUCCCCCUCCUUGAAUCCACCGCACUUCCCGGGUCGGGGCUGCCUUGGCAUCCUUCGGACAGCAUCCUGGAGUGCACCGUAUCCCGGGGCAGGGCUGGGAUUUAAAGAGCUCUGAAGAAGGCAAUUUGCUUUUAGGAAACCGGUUCUGGCUUUACUCUGGUGGGAGUCCCGGGGGUAGAAGGGAGGGACGCGUGGUUUGGAGCUCAGGCUCCUGCAGGCGGGGGUGUGUCCGUCCCCGGGCACGGCGGCCGGGCAGGGGGUGCCGGUGGGUCCCGGCGGGAGCUCCUCGGGCACACGGCACGCACGGGCGGCUGCGGGAGGAGCCGCUGGCCGGGCAUCCCGGGGCUGCCCUCCUCCCAGCCCCUUCCCUCUGCCCGGGCAUCCCGGGGCUGCCCUCCUCCCAGCCCCUUCCCUCUGCCCUGCCCGAGUCUGCGCUCGCCCAGCGGGGGAUGCUUAAGGAAUGGAAAAAUUAUCUCCACACGCCGUUUUUAAACUUUCUGGAGCUUCCCCAGAACAAGCGGCAUCCUCAGAUCAUUAGAUCUGUGAGGGUUUUAUACGCACUCCCUCUCCCAGAGUAACGCGCUGCUGGUGCAUUAAGCAGUAGCUGUAGGAAUAUGUGGACAUAAACAUAUAUGUGGGGCAUGGAUUGAAAAGCUGUGCAUCACCUUGG